rnacentral:rRNA from 1 species
GGUUAAGCGACUAAGCGUACACGGUGGAUGCCCUGGCAGUCAGAGGCGAUGAAGGGCGUGCUAAUCUGCGAUAAGCGCCGGUAAGGUGAUAUGAACCGUUAUAACCGGCGAUACCCGAAUGGGGAAACCCAGUGUGAUUCGUCACACUAUCAUUAACUGAAUCCAUAGGUUAAUGAGGCGAACCGGGGGAACUGAAACAUCUAAGUACCCCGAGGAAAAGAAAUCAACCGAGAUUCCCCCAGUAGCGGCGAGCGAACGGGGAGGAGCCCAGAGCCUGAAUCAGCAUGUGUGUUAGUGGAAGCGUCUGGAAAGGCGCGCGAUACAGGGUGACAGCCCCGUACACAAAAGCGCAUGUGCUGUGAGCUCGAUGAGUAGGGCGGGACACGUGGUAUCCUGUCUGAAUAUGGGGGGACCAUCCUCCAAGGCUAAAUACUCCUGACUGACCGAUAGUGAACCAGUACCGUGAGGGAAAGGCGAAAAGAACCCCGGCGAGGGGAGUGAAAAAGAACCUGAAACCGUGUACGUACAAGCAGUGGGAGCACAGGUUUACCUGUGUGACUGCGUACCUUUUGUAUAAUGGGUCAGCGACUUAUAUUCUGUAGCAAGGUUAACCGUAUAGGGGAGCCGGAGGGAAACCGAGUCUUAAUUGGGCGUUAAGUUGCAGGGUAUAGACCCGAAACCCGGUGAUCUAGCCAUGGGCAGGUUGAAGGUUGGGUAACACUAACUGGAGGACCGAACCGACUAAUGUUGAAAAAUUAGCGGAUGACCUGUGGCUGGGGGUGAAAGGCCAAUCAAACCGGGAGAUAGCUGGUUCUCCCCGAAAGCUAUUUAGGUAGCGCCUCGUGAAUUCAUCUCCGGGGGUAGAGCACUGUUUCGGCUAGGGGGCCAUCCCGGCUUACCAACCCGAUGCAAACUGCGAAUACCGGAGAAUGUUAUCACGGGAGACACACGGCGGGUGCUAACGUCCGUCGUGAAGAGGGAAACAACCCAGACCGCCAGCUAAGGUCCCAAAGUCAUGGUUAAGUGGGAAACGAUGUGGGAAGGCCCAGACAGCCAGGAUGUUGGCUUAGAAGCAGCCAUCAUUUAAAGAAAGCGUAAUAGCUCACUGGUCGAGUCGGCCUGCGCGGAAGAUGUAACGGGGCUAAACCAUGCACCGAAGCUGCGGCAGCGAACGUAUCACCCAAGACAACUUUACGGAGUUGACGAUUGACGGAGCGAAGCGACGUCAAAGCGUUCAUUAAAGUCGAGUUGGCUUAGGGAUACGUUCGUUGGGUAGGGGAGCGUUCUGUAAGCCUGUGAAGGUGUGUCGUGAGGCAUGCUGGAGGUAUCAGAAGUGCGAAUGCUGACAUAAGUAACGAUAAAGCGGGUGAAAAGCCCGCUCGCCGGAAGACCAAGGGUUCCUGUCCAACGUUAAUCGGGGCAGGGUGAGUCGACCCCUAAGGCGAGGCCGAAAGGCGUAGUCGAUGGGAAACGGGUUAAUAUUCCCGUACUUGGUGUUACUGCGAAGGGGGGACGGAGAAGGCUAUGUUGGCCGGGCGACGGUUGUCCCGGUUUAAGCGUGUAGGUGUGUGUUCCAGGUAAAUCCGGUUCACUUUAACACUGAGGCGUGACGACGAGGCACUACGGUGCUGAAGCAACAAAUGCCCUGCUUCCAGGAAAAGCCUCUAAGCAUCAGGUAACAUCAAAUCGUACCCCAAACCGACACAGGUGGUCAGGUAGAGAAUACCAAGGCGCUUGAGAGAACUCGGGUGAAGGAACUAGGCAAAAUGGUGCCGUAACUUCGGGAGAAGGCACGCUGACACGUAGGUGAAGUGAUUUACUCAUGGAGCUGAAGUCAGUCGAAGAUACCAGCUGGCUGCAACUGUUUAUUAAAAACACAGCACUGUGCAAACACGAAAGUGGACGUAUACGGUGUGACGCCUGCCCGGUGCCGGAAGGUUAAUUGAUGGGGUCAGCGCAAGCGAAGCUCCUGAUCGAAGCCCCGGUAAACGGCGGCCGUAACUAUAACGGUCCUAAGGUAGCGAAAUUCCUUGUCGGGUAAGUUCCGACCUGCACGAAUGGCGUAAUGAUGGCCAGGCUGUCUCCACCCGAGACUCAGUGAAAUUGAACUCGCUGUGAAGAUGCAGUGUACCCGCGGCAAGACGGAAAGACCCCGUGAACCUUUACUAUAGCUUGACACUGAACAUUGAGCCUUGAUGUGUAGGAUAGGUGGGAGGCUUUGAAGUGUGGACGCCAGUCUGCAUGGAGCCGACCUUGAAAUACCACCCUUUAAUGUUUGAUGUUCUAACGUGGACCCGUUACCCGGGUUGCGGACAGUGUCUGGUGGGUAGUUUGACUGGGGCGGUCUCCUCCUAAAGAGUAACGGAGGAGCACGAAGGUUGGCUAAUCCUGGUCGGACAUCAGGAGGUUAGUGCAAUGGCAUAAGCCAGCUUGACUGCGAGCGUGACGGCGCGAGCAGGUGCGAAAGCAGGUCAUAGUGAUCCGGUGGUUCUGAAUGGAAGGGCCAUCGCUCAACGGAUAAAAGGUACUCCGGGGAUAACAGGCUGAUACCGCCCAAGAGUUCAUAUCGACGGCGGUGUUUGGCACCUCGAUGUCGGCUCAUCACAUCCUGGGGCUGAAGUAGGUCCCAAGGGUAUGGCUGUUCGCCAUUUAAAGUGGUACGCGAGCUGGGUUUAGAACGUCGUGAGACAGUUCGGUCCCUAUCUGCCGUGGGCGCUGGAGAACUGAGGGGGGCUGCUCCUAGUACGAGAGGACCGGAGUGGACGCAUCACUGGUGUUCGGGUUGUCAUGCCAAUGGCACUGCCCGGUAGCUAAAUGCGGAAGAGAUAAGUGCUGAAAGCAUCUAAGCACGAAACUUGCCCCGAGAUGAGUUCUCCCUGAGACUUAGAGUCUCCUGAAGGAACGUUGAAGACGACGACGUUGAUAGGCCGGGUGUGUAAGCGCAGCGAUGCGUUGAGCUAACCGGUACUAAUGAACCGUGAGGCUUAACCUU